rnacentral:tRNA from 1 species
AGCCGUGUCGCGCACAUCGGCGCAGGUCGCAGACUCGCGUGAUUCGCACUCGUAAUGCGUAGGUCGUCGGUUCGAUUCCGACAGGCGGCUCCCA